AGGUCGCCACGAGUUCGCAGCAUUUUUCGGUAAAUUUUUCGAGUUCCCGAGCUAUUUUUAAGGAAAUUUUGAAGUUUUGUUGGAAAUUAAAUUAUCUGGCGACGUGGCGUGUCCUUAUUGGUUGAUAGGCUUAACUUGGAGACCAAGUAGCAGCUGCCAAACGUGUCUUGCAUGUGCAAGAUCAGUUUGACACAUGUCAAGUGGUGGCACUAUGUUUGUUAUAUGCUUGACAAAUGGCAUAAGCAUGAUGAUGGAUGGUUUUGGUUUGGACAAGUGGCCUAUUUCUAUUGGUGUUCUUUCCCUAUAAAUAGAACCCAACCAGAUCAUUAUUUCCCCACAAUUUUCGGAGCUUUCUCUCUCCUACAUUUCUCUCUUCCAUUUUCUCUCUCUAGGAUUUGUUUUUGGCAUAACUUUUGAUCCGUAAGUCCGAUUUAGGAUCCGUUUUCGCCUACGGAUUCGUCUUGACGAGCUCUUUCUAUUGGUGGAAAGAAAAUUCAGAUUUGGUGAAACUAUUUUUUGACGACCUAGGAGGCUUGAUUUUAUUUUGUAUCAUCCACGAUUGUCGAAAAUAAGAUUUUGCAGGUAUGGAAUCAAGAUACUAGAGCAAGAAGUUCCGAUAUGUAUAUAAUGUCAAAUGGGUUGUGAAAUUUGUGUUUUCUUUAUGUUUGUUUGGAAUAAAGAAUGAGUACUAGUGUACUAUGUGAUAAAGACAAUGUAAUAUAUGUUUCCGCUGGAA